ACGGAAGGCAGCAGUGGGGAAUAUUGCACAAUGGGGGAAACCCUGAUGCAGCAACGCCACGUGUGGGAAGAAGCAUUUCGGUGUGUAAACCACUGUCGUGAGGGAAUAAUGUUGCGUUUCGGCGCAAUCGAAUGUACCUCGAAAGGAAGCACCGGCAAACUUCGUGCCAGCAGCCGCGGUAAUACGAGGGGUGCAAGCGUUGUACGGAAUCACUGGGCGUAAAGGGAGCGUAGGCGGAGGAGCAAGCAGUCUGUAAAAUCCCGGGGCCUAACCCCGGCUCUGCAGACUGGACUGUUUCUCUUGGAUAGUUCAGGGGCAGGCGGAAUUCCUGGUGUAGCGGUGGAAUGCGUAGAGAUCAGGAAGAACACCGAUGGCGAAGGCAGCCUGCUGGGGACUUAUCGACGCUGAGGCUCGAAAGUGCGGGUAGCAAACAGGAUUAGAUACCCUGGUA
rnacentral:rRNA from 1 species